rnacentral:rRNA from 1 species
AUGUAUAGCGAAAGCUAGUUGCAUUAAUUAACAGUUAGUGUAGCAUUGACUAUGUUAACUAAAGUUCUAGGUAGAGUUAUGAUUAUGACAUUUUCUAUCUAUGUGUCUUGACCAAAUCACGUGCCAGCAGUCGCGGUAAUACGUGGAAGACUAGUGUUAUUCAUCUUUAGUAGGUUUAAAGCGUACUUAGACGGUAAAUUCAGCCCAAUAAAUAAGGGUACUGAUAAGACUAGAGUUUUAUACGAGGGGGAACGGGAGUACUACCAGUGUAGAGAUGAAAUAUUUUGAUACUGCUAGGACUGGCAACGGCGAAAGCAACCCUUUAUGUAAAAACUGACGUUGAAGGACGAAGGCUUGGUUCACCAACAGGAUUAGUUACCCCAGCAGUCUGAGCAGACAAUGAUGAAUGUCAUAGAUAAGAAAUAUUACUAUCUUAAUUAAUAUAGUGAUAACCUGUCUAUAAAUGAAAGUGUAAGCAUUCCACCUCAAGAGUAAUGCGGCAACGCAGAAACUGAAAUCAUUAGACCGUUUCUGAAACCAGUAGUGAAGUAUGUUCUUUAAUUAGUAAAUACACUAAAAACCUCACCACAAUUUGUAUGUUUAUUUCAUCUAAACACAAGCGUUGCACGGCUGUUUUCAGUUAAUGUCGUGAGAUUUUGGUUAGUUCCAUUAAUUAGCGCAAACCCUUACUUUAUUUAAUUUAAUAUAUAAAGUCGUUCUCCGCUAGAUUGGAUAAGAUAACAGGGACUAAGACAAGUCAUCAUGACCUAAACAUUGUGGGCUAGAGACGUGCCACAUGAGACUACACAAAGGGAUGCAAAAUUGUGAAAUUGAGCUA